rfam:Pongo abelii chromosome 19.
GGGAAACGGGAUGAGGGGCCGGCCCCAGGCCCCUUUAAACAGUGGGGCA